CUCAUGUGUUGCAUGGUGACGGGCCCUGGGCUAAUGUCUUGCCUGGUGAUGCGCGCAGGCCUCAUGUGGGGCCUGGUGACGCGCGCUUGGCUCAUGUGUUGCCUGGUGUCGCGCGCGGGGCUGAUGUGUUGCCUGGUGACGCGCGCGGCUCAUGUCCUGCCUGGUGACGCGCCCCAUGGGCUCAUGUGUUGCCUGGUGAUGGGCACUGGGCUAAUGUCUUGCCUGGUGACGCGCGCGGCUCAAGUGUUGCCAGGUGACGUGAGCGGGGCUCAUGUGUUGC